rnacentral:rRNA from 1 species
GAUGAACGCUGGCGGCGUGCCUAAUACAUGCAAGUCGAGCGAACAGAUGAGGAGCUUGCUCCUCUGACGUUAGCGGCGGACGGGUGAGUAACACGUGGAUAACCUACCUAUAAGACUGGGAUAACUUCGGGAAACCGGAGCUAAUACCGGAUAAUAUAUUGAACCGCAUGGUUCAAUAGUGAAAGACGGUUUUGCUGUCACUUAUAGAUGGAUCCGCGCCGCAUUAGCUAGUUGGUAAGGUAACGGCUUACCAAGGCGACGAUGCGUAGCCGACCUGAGAGGGUGAUCGGCCACACUGGAACUGAGACACGGUCCAGACUCCUACGGGAGGCAGCAGUAGGGAAUCUUCCGCAAUGGGCGAAAGCCUGACGGAGCAACGCCGCGUGAGUGAUGAAGGUCUUCGGAUCGUAAAACUCUGUUAUUAGGGAAGAACAAAUGUGUAGUAACUAUGCACGUCUUGACGGUACCUAAUCAGAAAGCCACGGCUAACUACGUG